ensembl:lncRNA
CAUUGUGGUGCUCGGGCUUCUCUUGUGAGGCACGGGCUCUAGAGCAUUCAGGCUCAGUAGUCACCUUACAUGGGUUCUAGAGUGCACGGGCUCCGUAAUUGUGGCAUGGUGACCUCAUGUGACUGCUCUAGUCACAGGCGCUUAGGUGCCCCACCAGGAAUCAAACCUGUGUUCCCUGCAUUGGGAAGUGGAUUCUUAACCGCUGGACCACCAGGGAAGUCCCACUGCUCCAUUGAGAAAAAAAGUGACAACAAGCAUCUCUUAAAUUUCACCCCAUGUCUUUGUUCCCCUUUGCAGAAAACUCUUCAGAGAAUUACCCACCACACUCCUAAGUCCAAUGGCGGCAUCUCUGUUUUCUUCUAUUGGACUGAUCAGCAUCACAUGGCCCAGGCUCCCGCUACCUCCUUGGUUUCUGGGACACCAUCUUCACUGGUUUCCUCUGAUCCACCUGGCUGCUUCUCAGUCGGAGCUCUCAGCCGCUUCCUCCACUCCUUCAGAAACAGAAGGACUACUAAAUGCUAAACAAUUUUGAGGGCCAUGGAUGCAAGAGACAGAAAGGACACAG